rnacentral:rRNA from 1 species
UACGGGGGGGGCAAGCGUUGUUCGGAAUUACUGGGCGUAAAGGGCUUGUAGGCGGCCACUUAAGUCAGACGUGAAAUCCCUCGGCUUAACCGGGGAACUGCGCUUGAUACUGGAUGGCUUGAGAUUGGGAGAGGGAUGCGGAAUUCCAGGUGUAGCGGUGAAAUGCGUAGAUAUCUGGAGGAACACCGGUGGCGAAGGCGGCAUCCUGGACCAACACUGACGCUGAGGAGCGAAAGCCAGGGGAGCAAACGGG